rnacentral:rRNA from 1 species
AUGAACGCUGGCGGCGUGCCUAACACAUGCAAGUCGAGCGGGAAAUCGCUGAUUGAGAUUCGGUGAUUGAAGCGAUGGAUAGCGGCGGACGGGUGAGUAACGCGUAGGUAAUCUGCCUUCAGCACAGGGAUAGCCUAGGGAAACCUGGAUUAAUACCUGAUAACGCAUUGAAGUCACAUGGCUAUGAUGCCAAAGAUUUAUCGGCUGGAGAUGAACCUGCGUCUGAUUAGAUAGUUGGUGAGGUAACGGCCCACCAAGUCAACGAUCAGUAGCCGACCUGAGAGGGUGAUCGGCCACAUUGGAACUGAGACACGGUCCAAACUCCUACGGGAGGCAGCAGUGGGGAGUAUUGCACAAUGGGCGCAAGCCUGAUGCAGCAACGCCGCGUGAGCGAUGAAGGUCUUCGGAUCGUAAAGCUCUGUCCUCUGGGAAGAAGAAGUGACGGUACCAGAGGAGGAAGCCCCGGCUAACUACGUGCCAGCCGCCGC